UGGUUCAGGCAUGCAAGUCGAACGCUUCACCGCAAGGUGAAUAGUGGCAGAAGGGUUAGUAACACGUGAACAAUCUACCCCCGAGUCGGGGAUAACACCUCGAAAGAGGUGCUAAUACCCGAUAAUAUUCUUUCGUCGCAUGACGAGACAAUCAAAGGUGGCGCAAGCUGCCGAUUGGGGAGGAGUUCGCGGCCUAUCAGCUAGUUGGUGAGGUAACGGCCCACCAAGGCAUUUGACGGGUAGCUGGUCUAAGAGGACGAUCAGCAACAUUGGGACUGAGACACUGCCCAGACUCCUACGGGAGGCUGCAGUCGAGGAUCUUUAGCAAUGCCCGAAAGGGUGACUAUGCGACGCCGCGUGCAGGAUGAAGGCCUUCGGGUUGUAAACUGC
rnacentral:rRNA from 1 species